rnacentral:snRNA from 1 species
GUGCUUGCUUCGGCAGCACAUAUACUGAAAUUGGAUUGAAACAGAGAAGAUUAGUACGGCCCCUGCACAAGGAUGACACAUAAAUCCACGAAGCAUUUCAUAUUAAA